rnacentral:lncRNA from 1 species
GAGAUAAAGUUUAAGUUUGUUGUUACAAUUAGGCAUAGGUUUUUACCAUCUUUUCUUUUUUCUUUUACAGGAAAGGUUUUAAACGCAUUGCUUAUAAUCAUGCAUGGUAGGGUCAACUUCUGGAAACUUGAAAUACGGCAGUUAAGCUUCAGGUUUGGGACAGACUGUUUGCAAAUUCUUUGCCUCCCUCCAUCCCGCCAAGCAUAGGACAUGGGCUUCAUGAUCACUACUCUGGAUGGCUUGCUGUGUGUCAGACCAACAUGUAUGUGAGGGGAGUGGAUGAUCACCUUUCUGGUGGAAAGCAGAACAGAGAGGAAGAUGGCAGCAUUCAAGUGAGAGAUACAGACCUCCUUAGAUAGGAGAGCAAAAAGCAACAUUUGAUGAGAUUGACGGGCAGACUUGUAAUAUAAGGUGAGUUACUGGGCUGCUUCUGAUUAGAAAAAUCAUCAUGUAGGAGAGGCACUUGCCUUGGACUCUAGGAGGGAAUCAUCACUCUUAAUUACUUUAAGGAUUUAAUAAGCUGCUAUAAAGAGGGACCAACUUCAUUCCACUGGCACAACAGCAAACCUGACCUCAGCUUCUGAGAGACUUUUCCUUGCACUGAAGUGAAAUUCCACCGAGUGGAAGUUAAGCUUUGUGGAUGUGGGACUUAGCCAGAGCAACUUGAAAGCCUGUUGAGGAGGUAGAAGGUCUUAGUGAAGAUUCUUCAUUCAUGUUUCUGGGCAUUGUGUAUUUU